UAGCGGAGGAAAAGAAACCAACCGGGAUUGCCUUAGUAACGGCGAGUGAAGCGGCAAAAGCUCAAAUUUGAAAUCUGGUACCUUCGGUGCCCGAGUUGUAAUUUGGAGAGGGCAACUUUGGGGCCGUUCCUUGUCUAUGUUCCUUGGAACAGGACGUCAUAGAGGGUGAGAAUCCCGUGUGGCGAGGAGUGCGGUUCUUUGUAAAGUGCCUUCGAAGAGUCGAGUUGUUUGGGAAUGCAGCUCUAAGUGGGUGGUAAAUUCCAUCUAAAGCUAAAUAUUGGCGAGAGACCGAUAGCGAACAAGUACAGUGAUGGAAAGAUGAAAAGAACUUUGAAAAGAGAGUGAAAAAGUACGUGAAAUUGUUGAAAGGGAAGGGCAUUUGAUCAGACAUGGUGUUUUGUGCCCUCUGCUCCUUGUGGGUAGGGGAAUCUCGCAUUUCACUGGGCCAGCAUCAGUUUUGGUGGCAGGAUAAAUCCAUAGGAAUGUAGCUUGCCUCGGUAAGUAUUAUAGCCUGUGGGAAUACUGCCAGCUGGGACUGAGGAACUGCGACGAA
rnacentral:rRNA from 1 species